rnacentral:rRNA from 1 species
GACGAACGCUGGCGGCGUGCCUAAUACAUGCAAGUAGGACGCAGUUGCGAACGGGUGAGUAACGCGUAGGUAACUACCUAUUAGAGGGGGAUAACUAUUGGAAACGAUAGCUAAUACCGCAUACUAGUAGAUGGACCUGCGUUGUAUUAGCUAGUAGGUAGGGUAAUGGCCUACCUAGGCAACGAUACAUAGGCGACUCGGAGAGGUGAGCGGGCACAAUGGGACUGGGACACGGGCCAGGACCCCACGGGAGGGAGGAGGAGGGAAAUGUCGGCAAAUGGGCGAACCCUGACCGAGCAACGCCGGGUGAGGUGAGAAAGGUUUCGGAUCGUAAAGCUCUGUUGUUAAGGGAGCGGUACCUAACCAGAAAGGGACGGCUAACUACGUGCCAGCAGCCGCGGUAAUUC